AAGCAUCAUCUGAGAGAGUUUUGAAAAGGUUACUACUGCGCUUGCAGCAGCCCUCCACUUUCAUUGACGGAUUGUUUAUUGGAUAUGAAAGCUUAAGGGGAUUAGGAGAAUCAUGCUCAAAAAUAUUUGAAAAAUUAUGUCUGAUUUUUUUCUCAUCAAGUUCAUAGGAGGUUGCUAUUUGCAAGAUCACAACCAUCCAAUCCCAUAGGAAACCAUCAUUUGAGAAAGGAUUUACAGCCUUAUAUGAUCUUUAGAAAAAAUUGAUGCAGCAAGAUAGUGAAUGAAAUAUAGAGAAAAAAGAGAAAAAAAAAAUUAGUUCACCAUUUUGAUAGGUUUCAGAUCAAAAUAAAAAAUUUAGCACUUAUCUUUCCUCAGUUCCUUGCCUGCAGAAUGCUCAUAGCACCACCAUUCUCAAUUCUUUGUAUCAUCCAAAAAAUUAACUGAACACCAAAAAAACAACAAUCAAAAAAAAAUUUAAAAAAAAUAUUUAGAAAAGAUGCUAUCAAACUCAUCUUUCUUUCAAAGGAUGGAAGGGCUUAGUUUCAUCGCCCACCCUCUUGCUUGCCCAUGGUGCCCCUGCCACCAUCCCCCCAACCGAGGGAGAUAGAAAUUCGAAGGGAGGAGNNNNNNNNNNNNNNNNNNNNCCGAUUGACACUCCCACAAAUAGAAAAAGUACAUCAAAAAUUAGAAAAAGAUAGAAAAAAUCAAUGAAAACAAAGAAAAGGUGGAAAAUUUAAAAGAUCAGACCUUUUCAUGUAUAGGCUGUUCGAAUUUUUCUUUUUCAAUAAUGAAGACCCAUGGGAGAUAAUGGCGAGGAAAGCAGGAGAGAAUGUGUUUAGGACAGCCUCUCAUCAAUUUUAUAGUCUAAAAGCAUCAUCUGAGAGAGUUUUGAAAAGGUUGCUACUGCGCUUACAGCAGUCCUCCACUUUCAUUGACGGAUUAUUUAAUGGAUAUGAAAGCUUAAGGGGAUUAGGAGAAUCAUGCUCAAAAAUAUUUGAAAAAUUAUGUCUGAUUUUUUUCUCGUCAGGUUCAUAGGAGGUUGCUAUUUGUAAGAUCACAACCAUCCAAUCCCAUAGGAAACCAUCAUUUGAGAAAGGAUUUAUAGCCUUAUAUGAUCUUUAGGAAAUAUUGAUGCAGCAAGAUAGUGAAUGAAAUAUAGAGAAAAAAGAGAAAAAAAAAUCAGUUCACCAUUUUGAUAGGUUUCAGAUCAAAAUAAAAAAUUUAACACUUAUCUUUCCUCAAUUCCUUGCCUGCCGAAUGCUCAGGGCACCACCAUUCUCAAUUUUUUGUAUCAUCCAAAAAAUUAACUGAACACCAAAAAAACAACAAUCAAAAAAAAAUAAAAAAAAUAUUUAGAAAAGAUACUAUCAAACUCACCUUUCUUUCGAUGGAUGGAAGGGCUUAGUUUCACCGCCCACCCUCUUGCUUGCCCAUGGUGCCCCUGCCACCAUCCCCCCUAACCGAGGGAGAUAGAAAUUCGAAGGGAGGGG
rnacentral:lncRNA from 1 species